AUUGAACGCUGGCGGCAUGCUUUACACAUGCAAGUCGAACGGUAACAGGUUAAGCUGACGAGUGGCGAACGGGUGAGUAAUGCAUCGGAACGUGCCCGAUCGUGGGGGAUAACGCAGCGAAAGCUGCGCUAAUACCGCAUACGAUCUGAGGAUGAAAGCGGGGGACCGUAAGGCCUCGCGCGAUCGGAGCGGCCGAUGUCAGAUUAGGUAGUUGGUGGGGUAAAGGCCCACCAAGCCGACGAUCUGUAGCUGGUCUGAGAGGACGACCAGCCACACUGGGACUGAGACACGGCCCAGACUCCUACGGGAGGCAGCAGUGGGGAAUUUUGGACAAUGGGCGAAAGCCUGAUCCAGCAAUGCCGCGUGCAGGAAGAAGGCCUUCGGGUUGCAAACUGCUUUUGUACGGAGCGAAAAGGUCCUUUCUAAUACAAGGGGCUCAUGACGGUACCGUAAGAAUAAGCACCGGCUAACUACGUGCCAGCAGCCGCAGUAAUAC
rnacentral:rRNA from 1 species